UUCGCAAUGCCCGAAAGGGUGACGAAGCGACGCCGCGUGUGGGAAGAAGGCCUUCGGGUUGUAAACCACUGUCGGGAGUUAAGAAAUACAAGGAUAUUAAUAGUGUCUUUGUUUGACUAAGGCUCCGGAGGAAGCCACAGCUAACUCUGUGCCAGCAGCCGCGGUAAUACAGAGGCGGCAAGCGUUGUUCGGAAUUAUUGGGCGUAAAGAGCACGUAGGCGGCUAUGUAAGUCGGUUGUGAAAGCCUUCCGCUCAACGGAAGAACAGCAUCCGAUACUACAUGGCUUGAGUGCGGGAGGGGAGAGUGGAACUUCUGGUGGAGCGGUGAAAUGCGUAGAUAUCAGAAGGAACGCCGGCGGCGAAAGCGGCUCUCUGGCCCAUAACUGACGCUGAGUGUACGAAAGCUAGGGGAGCAAACGGGAUUAGAUACCCCGGUAGUCCUAGCCGUAAACGAUGGGCACUAAGUAGAGGGGUUUU
rnacentral:rRNA from 1 species